CUUGUACUCCCUCCGUCCGAAAAUACUUGUCAUUGAAAUGGAUGUAUCUAGAUGUAUUUUAGUUCUAGACACAUCCAUUUUGAUGACAAGUAAUUCCGGACGGAGGGAGUNAGAC
rnacentral:pre_miRNA from 1 species